GAAAUGCGAUAAGUAGUGUGAAUUGCAGAAUUCAGUGAAUCAUCGAAUCUUUGAACGAACAUUGCGCCCCUUGGUAUUCCAUGGGGCAUGCCUGUUCGAGCGUCAUUUGUACCCUCAAGCUCUGCUUGGUGUUGGGUGUUUGUCCCCGUCUCCGCGCGUGGACUCGCCCCAAAGUGAUUGGCAGCCGGCGUACUGGUCCCGGAGCGCAGCACAUGUCGCGCAAACGAGUGCCUUGGUACGGCGGCGUCCAUAAGCCCCUCUCUCACGCUCUUGACCUCGGAUCAGGUAGGGAUACCCGCUGAACUUAAGC
rnacentral:misc_RNA from 1 species